AUCCUGUAACUAUUUGGUAUGUUGGGUGGCAUGAAUACACUAAAGCAUAUUUGGUUAUUUUCAAUAUUUUGGGUAAGCCGACAACAGUAUAGAACACCAUACAACUUAGAACUGAAUGAAAAACAAAUCAAGAACAAUUUAGUUUUAAAAUUUUGUUCCUUGAUGCUAAAGGGUGGGGGAAAAAAUUAUAUACUAAUGAGAAAUUGAAUCCACUAUAAAGUGGGACGCUAAUCCCAAGCACUGGCUACACCCGAACCAUAUCCUCCGCCGUAGCUGCCAGGAACCCCAUAUCCACCACCACCACCACCACCACCACCACC
rnacentral:misc_RNA from 1 species